UGACAUACUGGUAGGGUUUUUGGAGCAAGAUAACACUUUGUCAGCAGCGCAGAACGUGUAACGUACCUUCAUAUUUUCUUUAGCUGGCACUAAAAUCAAAACUAGUGACCGAAUUUCCAACUUGAAAAUCUCCGUGCUUCCUCCAUUGUGAUUUUUCAUGUGCUCGCAAUGUGACGUCACUCCCCCGGAUGCGAAUGCAGGAACUGUUCACUUCGGGCUGUAAACACCGAAGUUCCCAUUUCUCAAGCUUUGUAUAAUUUACCGUUCUUGGCUGUGUCUUCAUCUGGGAAUGGGGUCGCCACUUGGAUUUUAUUAUUCGUUCAUGCUGUGGAUGGCACAACCGCUUCUAUCGAAUGAGAAAAUUAAAAACUGGUUGAACCAACAUUUCCUUUAGCUAAAUCAAAACAAAACAGAGCUACCGCCAUUUCCUUUUGUCUCCCGCAACAGCACAGGUGUCAGAUUCAAGGCCGGGGGUGGGGUGGGGGUGGGGGCGUCAUAUCUGACCCCCUCCUCCCCACAUUAUUUUAUAAGGCCUGUGAAGUUCAUUUUUCUUGCUGAAAUACCAAAAUUGCAAAUUGUCUUCACAUGUGAUAUUGUAAGCCCUUUUUU